GUAGGUGGCAAGCGUUGUCCGGAAUUAUUGGGCGUAAAGCGCGCGCAGGCGGUCCUUUAAGUCUGAUGUGAAAGCCCUACGGCUCAACCGUGGAGGGUCAUUGGAAACUGGGGGACUUGAGUACAGAAGAGGAAAGCGGAAUUCCAAGUGUAGCGGUGAAAUGCGUAGAGAUUUGGAGGAACACCAGUGGCGAAGGCGGCUUUCUGGUCUGUAACUGACGCUGGGGCGCGAAAGCGUGGGGAGCAAACAGGAUUAGAUACCCUGGUAGUCCACGCCGUAAACGAUGAGUGCUAAGUGUUAGGGGGUUUCCCGCCCCCUUAGUGCUGCAGCUAACGCAUUAAGCACUCCGCCUGGGGAGUACGGCCGCAAGGCUG
rnacentral:rRNA from 1 species